GACGAACGCUGGCGGCGUGCUUAACACAUGCAAGUCGAACGAAGAGCGAUGGAAGCUUGCUUCUAUCAAUCUUAGUGGCGAACGGGUGAGUAACGCGUAAUCAACCUGCCCUUCAGAGGGGGACAACAGUUGGAAACGACUGCUAAUACCGCAUACGAUCUAAUCUCGGCAUCGAGGAUAGAUGAACGGUGGCCUCUACAUGUAAGCUAUCACUGAAGGAGGGGAUUGCGUCUGAUUAGCUAGUUGGAGGGGUAACGGCCCACCAAGGCGAUGAUCAGUAGCCGGUCUGGGAGGAUGAACGGCCACAUUGGGACUGAGACACGGCCCAGACUCCUACGGGAGGCAGCAGGGGGGAAUCUUCCGAAAGGGGCGAAAGUCUGACGGAGCAACGCCGCGUGAGUGAUGACGGCCUUCGGGUUGUAAAGCUCGGUUAAUCGGGACGAAAGGCCUUCUUGCGAAUAGUGAGAAGGAUUGACGGUACCGGAAGAGAAAGCCACGGCUAACUACGUG
rnacentral:rRNA from 1 species